rnacentral:lncRNA from 1 species
ACCAGUUCAAGUUGGAAGUGUGUCUUUUGAAAUCAGACAACAAAGUCGUGGACAACCAGGCUGGGACCCAGGGCCAGCUGAAGGUGCUGGGUGCCAACCUCUGGUGGCCGUACCUGAUGCACGAACACCCCGCCUACCUGUACUCGUGGGAGGAUGGUGAUUGCUCACACCAAAGCCUUGGACCCCUCCCAGCCUGUGACCUUUGUGACCAACUCCACCUACGCAGCAGACAAGGGGGAUCCACCUCUGAUGUUCAGUGAAGAGUACCAGAAAAGUCUGCUAGAGCAGUACCAUCUGGGUCUCAAUCAAAAACGCAGAAAAUACGUGGUUGGAGAGCUCAUCUGGAAUUUUGCCGAUUUCAUGACUAACCAGUCCAAGGAUGAAGGAAACACUGGACCUCAUUAUGGAUUUACUUUUGGGAUACACUCAUCAUUCCAGAGGAGGGUAAAAGGCUGAGAAGCUUAAGGUAUUUCAGUCUGUUUUAUGUUACUCAUUUGCGAAAAGCAGGCUCAUCGAAUACAGGUGAGUUUCAACGCUUCUUGAAUAUGGCAGCAUUUAAAAGUCUUCAGACCGCAUGGUGGCUCAUGCCUGUCAUCCCAGCACUUUGGGAGGCCAAGGUGGGAGGAUUGCUUGAGGCCAGGAGUUCGAGACCAGCCUGUUCAGCAUAGGAGGACCCCCAUCUCUACAAAAACUAAACAGAUUAGCUAGGUGUGGUGGUGUGUGCCUGUAGUCCUAGCUGCUUGGGAGGCUGAGGCAGGCGGAUAGCCUGAGCACAGGAGUUGGAGGCUGCAGUAAGCUGUGAUUACACCACUGCACUUGAGCCUGGGCAACAGAGUGAGACCUGUCUUU